GAAGGCAGAAUAUUGAAAUGGAAUGCAGAAUAUUGAAAUGGAAUGUAGAAUAUUGAAUGAAUCAAUCAAAGACUUUAACACUUCCAGCUACAGGCAGCUCAUUAUGGCUCAAAGCAGCCAGGCCUCAGAGUUCUUUUUUACAAUGAUUGGACUGUCAUCUCUUCCCACUUGUUUGUUCCAGUUUUAGCUCGUCAGGUCAUGUAGAUUUACUCUACCAUAUAACAAACCUUUAAAUACCUGAACUGAUACUCAUGCCCUACUUUCUCCACCUGACCUCUGAGGUUGACUUAUUUGGAGGUUCAAGAUAAUUGACCACUAAGUCUGGUUCUGGAGAAGUUGGGUUUCCACAUGCCUUACAGCUUGGAACGUGCUUCCUUGGGGAUUUCAUGUUCAUAUCAAUGACUGAUUUGGAAUUCGGAUUUGCCUUUGAAUGUUGGAGAGCAUGGAAUCAUGCAAGGAUCAG